rnacentral:lncRNA from 1 species
AGCUUCAAGAGGGUCCAAUAUGCUAGCACUGGGCCCUUCGCAGCAACAUCAAAGUUUUGAAUUCCCAGCACUUGGCCAGUCUUUGCAGCCAACAGGCCUGAAUCCUUUUGAAGAAUGGCCACAGCAACAGGAGAACCGUGGCGGUGUUGAUGACUACCUGAUGGAGGAGAUCAGGAUGAGGAGCCAUGAGAUUCUGGAAAACGAAGAAAUGCAGCAAAUGUUGCGGCUUCUGAGCAUGGGUGGUGCAGGAACCAACCUAACUGAAGAUGCCUUCAAUUUCCCCUCAUACAUGCCUGCACCUUCACCAAACUUGAGCUAUGAGGAUGACCGCACCCGCGCACCUGGGAAAGCCGUUGUCGGGUGGCUCAAGAUCAAGGCUGCUAUGCGGUGGGGCAUCUUUGUCAGGAAGAAGGCAGCUGAGAGAAGAGCUCAGCUUGUUGAGCUAGACGACUAGAAAGUAACAGCUGGAAGCACGUGCCCUCGAGCUGUUCAUGUACCAAAGUUUCAUUGAUGAUGUUUGUGGAUCCGGAUGGGCUCAGCUAAUGCCCCUUAGGAGGACAGUUCUGGUCCUGAGCUUAAUUAUGUACAAAACACUUUCCAUUUUUCUCCUUUUGUAUAGCUCUUUUACCAUUUAAAAUGUGCUGUUUGUUUAGUGUGAUGCUAGCCAUGUUAUGAACCUUAACCUGAACUCUGUACAUGCAUUUGUUACAGAAUUCAAAACUGGUAAACAUUGGCAUUCUGCAUCCUUUUCUCCGGCAUUAAAUAGCGGUCCACAGACUACAUCCAGUGGGAGGUAUUUGCUGGGCUCCGCCUUAUGCUCCACGGAUAUUACUAUUGUUUCAAAGCACGUCUCGGUGUUUUCGUCCAGAAUGGUUUGUGGCUUGAUGUAUGCAGAAAUGUGGCCCUAUGGUCUUUGGGACAAACUUGAGGUGCUUGAUGUAUGUUUGGAUGGGGGCAUAACUUGGAGGCGGAGUCCCACGUAGGUCUUGUUUAGCUGCAUUUGGUAAUUUCGUAUCAAUUUAAAAUCUACGUGUGUUGGAGUGGAUCGGUGAGCCUAUGUUUAGCUGCACUUGUAAUUUCGUAUCACUCUGAAUCCACAUGUGUUGUGAGAAUUAGUUAAUUAUCCAAUUGUGUUGGAGUGGGUUGGUGUGAGAAAUAGUUAAUUUUUCAUUCUAAUCAACCAAAGUAUUUGUAAAUUGAGGUGGACAUGUGUGCAUUUAGUUUGCGACAAAAUAGAGGACGGUGAAUGAAGUCACUCUUGCGGCAUGAAUUUACCAGUUUCCUUGUUUUCCAUGUGCUGAAUUUCUUUAGUGUUACUCAAGACGCAUGAAUUUAUCAGUUUACUACUCAUAUGAUUUGUGCUAGUAAAACCUUUUUAAGUUUAAUUAGAUUUGUAGAAAAUAUUAGUAAUAUUUAAAUAUCUAAAUUAAGUUUAUUAUUAAAAUAUAUUUAAAGAUCUAUCUAACAAUAGUAGUUAUGUAUCAUAAGUAUUAAUAUUUUGUUACAUAUAUUUGGUCAAAGUUAAAGAUAGUUGAUUUCUUAGGAAGCGAGAAUACUCUUUUUAUGGGACAUAAGAACUAGUUUUAAUGUUCUAAAUUUCUUUAUUCAACAUGGCAUAUAUUUAUUACUUUACCAUUUAUGGGAAAAUGUAAUCGAAAAUGACAAGUGAAGCGUUUACCACUGUGUGAACAUAGGGAAUGUGCUGAGUAGGGUUAGGGCGCAGCUCUGUGAGAUUGAAAUGUUAUGUUAGGCUAGCCUAAACUCACUAAUUAUCCCUUCACUUACCAACUAGGUUCGGAUGCCGAGUUCUAAAUUCAUCAAUUUUACAUGUGGCGUUAUCUUGCAGAGGCUACAAUUGCUUUGGGACAAAAAAUAAUAUGCAGGGGAGGAGAAAUAGAGCAGUAAAAGCACUGCUCAGGCGUUGAGAGAAAAGGAGGCUGUGUUUUUGAGUAAAAGAAACCGUGGAACUUUGGUUGGAAGAAUAAUGGUUUUUGCAACCUUGUACCUAUGCUAUGUGUCAUAUCAACUUUUGUUAUCAAAUAUUGAUGUAUGCUUGUAUUGGUGAACCACGUAGAGAUCUAAUGGUUGUUAGCUCUCCACUAGAUCCUAAUGCACAUGCAAUGAGUUAGAGCAUCUAGUGGCACUGUGACAACCACAUUUCAAUAUAAGUUUCACCCAUCUUCAUAGUACGACUAUUGAUCCUAAAUGUGAUCACACUAAGUGUCUUGACCAUGAAAACAAAGAGCUCCUAUCAAAUAUACCUUUGGCUUGAGCUUUUUAUUUUUUUCUCUUUCUUCUUUUCCAAACUCGAGCACUUGAUCAUCACCAUGGCCAUCACCACCAUCAUCAUGAUCUUCAUCAUUCGCUCCACCACUUGGAAUGUGCUACCCUAUCUCAAAUUCACUUAGAGCCAAGGGUUAGCACUUCGGGUUUCAUCAAUACACCAAAACCAAACAAGAGCUUUCAGAAAUGAAAGCUACUGCUAAGGCGGUGAGAGAAAAGAAGACUCUGGUGAAAGGUCCUAAUGGCUAGAGAGAGGGUGAAUAGCCUAAUAAAAUUUUCUACAACAACACUAAAAGCACUUGACUAGUAUAUAAGAAAGCAAAGCGAAUUUGGCACUAGCUCUAUAUGGGGCAUGCAAAACUCCUACCCAAACUAGUUUCUAUAGUCUCUAAUGAAAUACACCAAGUCUAUGGCACUACUUACCUCUAAAAGAUAAGCUAAGCUAAGCAAGAUAAGGAUCACACAAGCCACGAGGGUGCCGCACUAGGGUGCCGCACAACUAACACAAGAUAUUCUACUUUUUUGACUCGAUUUUGGAAUUUCUAAAAAUCAUUAUCACCUUCAGCUGGUAACACGAACCGUGGUGAUUACUUUUUAUCACAGUUGGUUUCCUAACCGGCGGUAAUAACAUUGGGCAUCACCGCCGACUUUCAGUGCUGAGGGCCAAAACUGUUAGUGAAGGGGGUUCUGGAGCCGACGGUGAAUACAUAUUCUGUAGUAGUGAUGAUAGGGUCAUCAGUUAAAUACUAGUUCUAAUGGUUCAUAGAAUCGAUACGAAAGCCAACAUGUGCAAACCGAUGAUAAAAUGAGACAUUGAUGACGAUGAACGGUGGACAGUUACUCGCUACCUCACUGGAGAAAACUACCUGGUAGACCAGCACGAUCAUGGCUAUCGGGUCCCCAAAGAUGACGUCGAUGACGACACGUACUAUAAAAUAGAGGAUGCUGAGGCAAAGCUUCACCUAGCAAAAUUGCUUCUAUCCCAAUACUGUUGGAUAUAUAGAGAUCACUCAUAUAGUGCACCCAUCCUAUAUACGUAUCUAAUGACAAUGGGGAUGGGAGCAUAUGCCCCUUAAGGGGAACCAUCCUCUUGCUACUAUAGAUGUGGGAGGCAUCGUCGGCUGAGGCCUUGAUGAAGCAAUCAGCGAGGAUGCGCUCAGUCCCAGAAGGACACGUUGGCGAAGCUAAAGCUCUUGCAAGCAGCCAGGUCCCUGACACACGCCACAUGCAGAAACACCACCUCAAUGUUGAUGGAGUAGUAGAACCAGCUCCUGCGGUUUGUGCAGUGGCGCCCCUCGGUCUUGUUGGCAUGGAGGGCGCAUGGCAGAUCAUCUUUGCCCAUGCCCAUGCACAGCUUGAAGGAGAGUCCGACAAGGUUCAAGAUCUUCGACAGGCUUGUGCAACACAAAGUGGAUGUCGUGGUCGAAGUUGGCUAGUGGUAGACUAACCCACACGUGGCGUCGUCGCACGCAUCAUAGAGCCUUCGGCACCCAACGAGGGCUUGUCAAGAGCAAGAACUCUUUGCCACCGAUCUCCCAUAACUUAUGCACGUGCGCGCAACUGAUGUGGAUGUCCAGGUCACACGCCGCGUCGUGACCGCACUCGUACCUCGCGCCGGUGCUGUGCUAUAACACUGUAGAAAUAAUGUUUAGCAUCGUUCACAGAACCCAAGUCCUAUACAAAAGGCCGGCUAGGCCCAAUGUCCGUUUUCACAUAAUAUGUCUUACAUUAGCGACCAUGUGUGAUCAUCAAAUCUUCAUCUAACGGUUCAUAUACUCUUGUAACUCCUUUAAAACCCUAGUAUCUUAUGAUCCCUUGAAAACCUUGAUCAAACGGUCCAUCUUCUCUCUACUCAUGUAUAUAAACUCGUGACCACCCAUCAUCGAUUUCUCACGCCUCACCCAGCCGCCGCCCAUUCUUUAUCGCCUCAUUCCUCUCAGAGCUCUUGCACACCUUAGAGCCUUGUUGCUCGCAUCCACAGUUACAUUCCUUGCGAUUAUCUUUGCUAGAGGUGGCAGCGAUACAACUCACCCUUCUUCACUACUUCACCUCCCUUCAAGCAUAUCCUAUUUCACAACUUAUUGAUGCCAGAUCUGUCGUCUGCAGUGGGUGCGCCUUCUGCUUCUUUUCCUCAUGUUUUUUAUGGUGUCUUGUGUGACUUCUAGGAGCAGAUCCAAUGGUGGGUGAGUUUGGCUCAAGCUCGCUACUACCUCUACAACCUUAGAGUCCCUUCCGUAAGCUCCUCCUAAAUUUUAAGGGAGGGGGGAGGGGGGGCUUAGGAGGUUUGAAGGAAGCAUAAGGCACAUUUACUCUCUAUUUUUCUAUAGAUUUGCCCCUUGUCAUCGUUAAUUAAUUUGUGACACAAUGUCACCACACUCAUGGUGCAUUCCUUUUCUAAACCUCAAGUUUUAUAAAUGGAUUGUUUUCUAAAUCUCUCCUUUGCUGGCAGCAAAGAAGAUGGCAAACACACAAGCACGAAUCAGGACAAACAUAGUAAGGUAUGCCUGGAACUUUUCUAAUCAGUGGUAACAAAGUUACCAUAUAAGUUAAGUGAUGUGAUCUCUCGAUCCUACGAACAUUAAAAAUUUAUUGAAAAAAGAUAUUGUACCAUUUUAUGACAUUGUAUCGGCGCUGUUUAGCACUAUUUAUCAUUGUCCACUAGUAAGUUACCAUAUAAGUUAAGUGAUGUGAUCUCUCGAUCCUACCGAGAAAGAUGUUAUAACAUUAAAAAUUUAUUGAAAAAAGAUAUUGUACCAUUUUAUGACAUUGUAUCGGCGCUGUUUAGCACUAUUUAUCAUUGUCCACUAGUACUUUUGAGGGGUAUCUAAAGUCACUUUUACUAGUUAUGUGCUACAAGUUCUCUUUUUUUUCUAGAAGGAGGGUAUAGAUAUCAAUCAGGAUAGUUGAAUGAAUUUGACACAAAGCUGUCCUACCAAAUGGAGGAGUAGGAAAACCUUUUGCCAGGUUCAAUUUGUGUCCAAACAUAGUACCAGCGCACCUCACUUUCCACUUUGCACUGUGCUGCUGACGGCGUAUUGGCCAGAAAUACCAGGCCGGCAGGCCCUAGGCUCCCACACCUCCCAGUCCCAGUACGAGUGGCCACAGAGUGACAGGAUCGGGAUCCCAAACGCCACAUAAGAUCCGUACAUCUUUGACUAGGUACAGUGUCGCGCGUCCCCGCCCCACCUAUUGAGGUCUUGUUUGGAUGUUGUUAGAUUCACCUCAAUCCACAUGUGUUGGAGUGAUUUAGAGUAGAAUUUAGUUCAAGUUCCACUCUAACUCACCCCAAUACAUAUGGAUUGAUGCGAAUUACAACUACAUCCAAUCAAGACCUUAGGCCAGUCUCAAUGCAUGUUUCGUAAGAGUGUCAUGCACAUUAAAUAGGGUGCCACAUAAGCAAAAUUGCUGACUUGGCAGGGUCAUUAAAUGAAGGAGUUUCAUCAGAUGAGAGAGAAGUUUCAUCUCCAUGAAACUCAUAUGGCUCGGUUACCUAGUUUAUAGUUUUGUUAACUGUGCCAUGAAACUAUGCAUUGAGACUGACCUUAUGUGUUUUUUCACCAACCACGAACUGAAAACCCACCCCACUGAUUGGUGGGACGCCAUUGCCGAGGUCCACCUGUCAUCGAUGUCGGCUCAUGCUGCCUGAGACAUCACCGACGAAUAGGACCCAGCGCAACAUGACCCACCAGUCAGUGAAGUUCGAAUAAUGAGCGGCAGUCCGCAACGCCCCAAUAUAGAGCACGAAAUAUCCUAUCAUCUGGUCCGGCCAUCUUUACCCGUAGCCGCCGCCGUCGGCAUGCGCCCCACCACCAGGUCACCCACCUUGUCAACCCCCACUAUUCCACCCGCGCACUGACACGUGGAGCCUCUGCUUCCAGGACCCGCUUGUCAUUGUCCGUUGGUGCCGGACCUCCGAUCUCGUGGGCCCGGACAGUCAGCGAGCGAGAGCCGUGCCGGAGUGGCUUGCGGCCGGGUAGGCGAAGCACGCAAGUAAACAAACCCAUUUGCCAGAGGCAGCACAACAAGCACAGCACCCACGCAGAGCGGCGCUCGCUCUCCGCCCCGCUCCGCCACACUCCCCAGAGCGCAGAUCUCUCGCAGCAGCUCGGCCUCGCGAUUCCGCAGGAGAGUGUUGUACUCCGCGCCGGCGGCGCCGAUUCGGUACCACGCCGCUUCGCUUCGCUUCGGCUUGCGUCCCUGCACUCCUGGUGCUUAUUUUGGGGAUUUUUUUUUUCACCUUGGUUUCUAAUGGGCGCAGAUCUGACGGGCGCGCAGCGGAAGGCUGGAGGAGGGCACUAGGAGCUGAGGGGGAGGCUAGGGUUAGGGUUCCGGCGCGAUGCAGCGCCCGGGACGACUUCAGCGGUCGGGGUCCAAGCGUGGGCUGGACCCCACCGGUAGCGGCGACGACGACGACCAUGCGCCCAAGCGCCCGCGCGUCCCCGCCCUGGCUAGGUGCGCGUGUGUUAAUGCUUUGAUUCUGCUAACUAGAGUUUUUUCAUUGGUUAGGUUCCAUGCCUUAGGUUGUUGCCGGUUUGAGACGGGAAGAAAUAUGAAACCCCUGCUUUGCUUUGAUUGAUUGAGAUGACUGGCGGAAGUAGCAGUGAUUACUAUGCUAGUGUUGUUGCUGUUAAGCUUAGUAUCAGUAGUUCGGUACAAAUGAGUGCAGGAAAAGGAAGUGGCCUAUGAGUCUUUUUGUUGAUUUGAUUAACCGUCGGACCAAGCUCCAACAGGAGUUUGGUUUGGUACAUGUGGAAACUACCUUUUGUUCUGAGAUGAGGUACGAAUUGCUACAAAAAGGAAGUGUCCUAAGUGGAUAAUUAUGAACCUACUCUGGUCCAUGCGAAAGGGAUUUUUUUUGGUAGUUCUGAGUGUUUGCUCUUUUGGCUGUUGGGUGCUCUCCAGCUCAGUCAGAGCACCAUAAGCAAAGAUGGUAAAGGCAUUAUGCUGUAGAAAUUGGAUGUUCCAGUGCUUAUAGAACUAAAGUUCAAUAUUAGCAUAUUUUUUUGCAUUUAACCAUGCAGACAAUUGGUAACUUAAAUUGGCCUGGCUAGAAGGCUAGUUAUGCCAUGCUGUUAUUGAGACAAUUCUCCUGACUCAGAAAUCAAUAGUUUGUUUACAUGAGUUAUAGAUUGUCAAUCCAUGCCAAAAUCAUGACCUAGGUUAUCACUCUACUCUCAUACCUCGUUUUCCUUCUGAUUUUACCCUGUUAUGUCUUUCUUUGUUCACUUUGGUGCCUGGUGUUGGGUUUCAUCUCUAGCAUGCCCCAACUUUCUUGGGAAUAAAGAGGUUUUGGUGCUGGAGAUCUGCCAGCCAGGCCUAUAUCAGUGUGGGAACUGAGUUGGGGUGCACAGUUAGGGGCCGGUUAGCUAAUAUAUUAGAUGGAAUGAAUGAGAUGCUGAUGAUACAUAAAAUUAAUUUUGUAGAGUUUAGUGAUAAGUUACAGUUUUUAAUCUACCACCCUUCAAACUACAAAUAUGUUUGUUGCUUAACUAAUGAAACAUUUUUCAGUGUCAUUGUGGAAGCUCUCAAGAUGGACAGUUUGCAGAAGCUCUGUUCAUCGCUCGAGCCCAUUCUCCGAAGAGUGGUGAGUCAAAUUUCUGUUGUGACUUAUUUUAGUUUAUAUGCAAAUUGUGUAUACAUAUCCUUAUUGACAUAUUUGAUCCAUUCUAUUUCUGGUCCUAGGUAAGUGAAGAAGUAGAGCGUGCUUUAGCCAAACUGGGUCCUGCUAUUCAAGGAAGGUAAAAAAAAAAUCAACUUACUCUUCAUGGUGACGCUUGGGAGAUGUUCUGUCUUGGAAAUUGAGAUUUAUUAUUGCUAUUGUGAUAUUACCACACUAAAGGCUCUUGGGUUAUGAAACUAAUAUCAAUGAAAACAGAUCCUCCCCCAAAAGAAUUGAAGGCCCUGAUGGAAGAAAUCUUCAGCUUCAGUUCAGAAGUCAGUUGGCUCUUCCAAUCUUCACUGGUGGGAAAGUUGAAGGUGAGCAGGGCGCAGCUAUACAUGUCGUGCUGUUGGAUGCAAACACUGGAUGUGUUGUUACUUCAGGACCUGAGUCGUUUGCAAAACUGGAUAUCCUUGUGCUUGAGGGCGACUUUAAUAAAGAGGAAGAUGAGGAUUGGACAGAAGAAGAGUUUGAAAGUAAUAUUGUCAAGGAGCGUGAAGGGAAGAGGCCUCUUUUGACAGGUGACCUGCAAGUGACUCUUAAAGAAGGUGUUGGAACCAUAGGGGAGCUUACCUUCACUGACAACUCCAGCUGGAUAAGAAGCAGGAAAUUCAGACUUGGGCUGAGGAUUGCUCCUGGCUUUUAUGAAGGCAUUCGUGUCCGAGAAGCCAAGACAGAAGCUUUCCCCGUUAAGGAUCACAGAGGAGAAUGUAUGUGUGACACAUUGUCGAUUUACUCAUUAGAUGAUACAAAAAUUACCUGUAUUUUUAGAAUCUGUAUCAGUCGCCAAGCAUGCUGAUUUUGUAUUAUUAGUGUACAAAAAGCACUACCCACCUGCGCUGAAGGAUGAUGUUUGGAGAUUAGAAAAGAUUGGCAAGGAUGGUGCAUUCCACAAGAAGUUAAAUGCUAGUGGGAUCUAUACAGUUGAAGAUUUUCUCCGGCUUCUUGUUAGGGAUCAGCAGAGAUUACGUACUGUAAGUUCUGUGAUACCUGUUAUUACUUACUAUAUUGUGAUUUAUGGUAUUUCCUAUAUAAUUUGACAUCAUAUUGUGAUUUAUGGUAUUUCCUAUAUGAUUUGACAUCUCUUGUUGUUUCUGUAGAUUCUGGGCAGUGGAAUGUCAAAUAAGAUGUGGGACAGCCUUGUUGAGCAUGCAAAGACAUGUGUCUUAAGUGGAAAGCAUUAUGUAUACUAUGCUAGAGACUCGAGAAACGUGGGUGCAAUAUUCAAUAACAUCUAUGAGUUCACUGGUUUGAGUGCCGAUGAUCAGUUCAUUUCAGCUGAAAAUCUCACAGACAAUCAGAAGGUUAGUGUCCUUUGUGACUCUACCAACUACAAUGCCUUAAGUCAAAAACCUUUACAAAUUUGUAUAGUGUCGUCUGUUUGAUAUUCUGCUAGUGUAACCAGUAGUGUAUUUCAGUAGGCAAAGAAUCAACAUUCUUUUUCAAAGAAUAAUACCAUCACUGUUUGUAUGACAGGGAUUGCUUUGGAAGUUUCUUGGAUCUAUUAGCUAAAUCUGAAGGGUUUGAACCCAAAUCCUCUAUCCCAGAGUAGUCUACUGACAUAUUUGUAUUUGUGCUCAUGUUAAACUGCAGGUCUAUGCUGAUGCAUUGGUAAAGAAAGCAUAUGAGGACUGGAUGCAAGUUGUAGAAUAUGAUGGCAAGGCACUCCUGAGUUUCAAGCAGAAAAAGAAAUCUGUCACAACACGAAGCGAUGCUGCAGCUGCCUCAACAAGCAAUCCUGCUUCAUAUGGUUCGACCAAUUCACAGAAACAAAUGUCCCUUCCAGCAAAAGCUGGACUAACUUCCUCGGCGGGUACUAUGAAUGAAGGUGACAUAUCCUGAUUUUUCCUAUUGAGUUUUUCUUUUUGUUUUAUCCAUACUCUUGUGGCCGUGAGUUUUUAAGGAGAAUUUGCAUGGUAGUAUUGCAAAGAGCAUAAAUUGAAAUAAAAUAAUACAAGCUAUUGAUGGUGGCCACCUGAUCCAUUUUGGAUGGGAUUUUCCAACUUGUUGGUCUUUGUGGUGACACUGUACAGCAUUGCCCAGUGCCGUUCUUUUAUCAUUUCUCAUGACAUGCCCAGUGAUUUCAGUCUAAGCCUAUCCACUCAUCCUUGCUGGCCCAACAGUGGUGUGCAAAAAUGACAACAAAAUUUUCUGAUAGUUUAUAUUCUUUGUGUACACAACCCAAUUGAUUUACUUCUCGUCAUUUUCUUUUGGUCACUGCUGUCUGUUCUGAUUGCAUAGUAUGGAUAUGCUUCUGCAUAUGCCACAUUAUACUAACAGGGAUCAGUCAAGUAGGAUUGUUCAGUUAUCCUCAACACUGGAAUUAUGGCAUCAGUAACUCUGGCAGGAAUUGCGCUAAUGCUGCCUUAUACUGUUGCUGUUGCUUUAUGACAUUUUAAAUACUUUUUAGUCAACAAUUGUCGGUUGUGUAUAGAAAACGGUACUGCUUAUGAUUAUGGGAUAUGGAUGUAGAUUCGUGAAUUUAAUUAAUUCCAUGCGUAUAGAAAAUGAUUUGCAUGAGCCGUGAAUUUAAUUACUUUACCAUGCGUAUGCUGUACUGACAUCACUGAAUUACUUCUGUUCAGCAGAUGGAACUAGAAAUGCAUACAAUGCAAAUGGAAACCAGUCAGCAAGAUAUGCAGCCAACACGAACAUUCCUGCAAACAUCACCAUGCAAUAUGACAGGAGUGCAGUGUCUCCUGAAAGCCAGUUUAGUGGUUCAUCCCUUCAGAGUCAAGCUUCAAGAGGGUCCAAUAUGCUAGCACUGGGCCCUUCGCAGCAACAUCAAAGUUUUGAAUUCCCAGCACUUGGCCAGUCCUUGCAGCCAACAGGCCUGAAUCCUUUUGAAGAAUGGCCACAGCAACAGGAGAACUGUGGUGGUAUUGAUGACUACCUGACGGAGGAGAUCAGGAUGAGGAGCCAUGAGAUUCUGGAAAACGAAGAAAUGCAGCAAAUGUUGCGGCUUCUGAGCAUGGGUGGUGCAGGAACCAACCUAACUGAAGAUGCCUUCAAUUUCCCCUCAUACAUGCCUGCACCUUCACCAAACUUGAGCUAUGAGGAUGACCGCACCCGUGCACCUGGGAAAGCUGUUGUCGGGUGGCUCAAGAUCAAGGCUGCUAUGCGGUGGGGCAUCUUUGUCAGGAAGAAGGCAGCUGAGAGAAGAGCUCAGCUUGUUGAGCUUGACGACUAGAAAGUAACAGC